rnacentral:rRNA from 1 species
UACAGAGGUCUCAAGCGUUGCUCGGAUUCAUUGGGCGUAAAGGGUGCGUAGGCGGCGCGGUAAGUCGGGGUGUGAAAUCUUGGAGCUUAACUCCGAAACUGCAUUCGAUACUGCCGUGCUUGAGGGACUGGAGAGGAGACUGGAAUUUACGGUGUAGCGGUGAAAAUGCGUAGAUAUCUGGAGGAAUACCGGGUGGCGAAGGCGGCAUCUGGACCGGCAUUGACGCUGAACAGCGAAAAGCUAGGGGGAGCAAAACCGGGAGUUAG